UUCCUGCUCAAUGGAAUCUAAAUAGCCGCAGUAUACUAACUGUGCAAAGGUAGCAUAAUCAAUUGUCUCAUAAUUGGAGUCUAGAAUGAAUGGAAGCAUGAGGUUUAACUGUCUUUUAAAUAUAAAUGAAUUUACUAAACAAGUGAAAAUUCUUGUAGAUACAUAAAAGACGAGAAGACCCUAGAAAUUUUAAUAUACGUUUUUGUUGGGGCGACAGAAUAACAAUAAACUUAUUUUAUAAUAUUAGAAGAUUAUUUUCUGAAAGAAAAAAUUACUCUAGGGAUAACAGCAUAAUUUAUAAUAGUUUGUGACCUCGAUGUUGGACUAGGAUUGCAUAAUUUUAAAAGACUUAUGUUUAUGCUCUGUUCGAGCAAUUAAUUCCU
rnacentral:rRNA from 1 species